rnacentral:tRNA from 1 species
UGAGGUGUAGCUCAGUUGCUAGAGUGCUUGCUUAUCAUGCACGGGCCCUGGGUUUGAUCCCCAGAACCCCAU